CGGGGCGUAGCGCAGCCUGGUAGCGCGUCUGCUUUGGGAGCAGGAUGUCGGAGGUUCAAAUCCUCUCGCCCCGACCA
rnacentral:tRNA from 1 species